rnacentral:misc_RNA from 1 species
GAAAUGCGAUAAGUAAUGUGAAUUGCAGAAUUCAGUGAAUCAUCGAAUCUUUGAACGCACAUUGCGCCCGCCAGUACUCUGGCGGGCAUGCCUGUCCGAGCGUCAUUUCAACCCUCAAGCCCCCCCCCCUCCGCCUUCCAGCGGAGGAGGCUUGGUGUUGGGCGUCGGCCGUCCUUCAGUGAUGGCCGUGCCCCAAAUACAGUGGCGGACUCGCUGUUGCCUCCUCUGCGUAGUAAUUCCAACCUCGCACCGGAAAGACAGUGGGCCCACGCCGUAAAAACCCCCCCUAAUUCUUCUGAAUGUUGACCUCGGAUCAGGUAGGAAUACCCGCUGAACUUAA